GGGCAGUGUAGCUAAUGUUAAAGCGAGACACAACCCUAAAGCAACAGGACAUGAUGAUGACAGUUAACAAUGGCAGAAUAUUUUGACAAGUACAUAUAUAUAUAUAUAU